GUCACGCUGUAAACGAUGUCGAUUUGGAGUUUGUUGCCUAGAGUGAUGGGCUCCGAAGCUAACGCGAUAAAUCGACCGCUGGGGAGUACGGCCGCAAGGUUAAAACUCAAAUGAAUUGACGGGGGCCCGCACAAGCGGUGGAGCAUGUGGUUUAAUUCGAUGCAACGCGAAGAACCUUACCUGGUCUUGACAUCCAUAGAAUUCUGCAGAGAUGUGGGAGUGCCUUCGGGAACUAUGAGACAGGUGCUGCAUGGCUGUCGUCAGCUCGUGUUGUGAAAUGUUGGGUUAAGUCCCGCGACGAGCGCAACCCUUAUUCUUUGUUGCCAGCGAUUUGGUCGGGAACUCAAAGGAGACUGCCGUUGAUAAAGCGGAGGAAGGUGGGGACGACGUCAAGUCAUCAUGGCCCUUACGACCAGGGCUACACACGUGCUACAAUGGCGUAUACAAAGGGAAGCGAAGGUGCGAGCUGGAGCGGAUCUCAUAAAGUACGUCUAAGUUCGGAUUGGAGUCUGCAACUCGACUCCAUGAAGUCGGAAUCGCUAGUAAUCGUAGAUCAGAAUGCUACGGUGAAUACGUUCCCGGGCCUUGUACACACCGCCCGUCACACCAUGGGAGUGGGUUGCACCAGAAGUAGAUAGCUUAACCGCGAGGGGGGCGUUUACCACGGUGUGAUUCAUGACUGGGGUGAAGUCGUAACAAGGUAACCA
rnacentral:rRNA from 1 species